rnacentral:rRNA from 1 species
UAAAUUCUCCAUACCACACUGAAUGUGCCCGAUCUUGUCUGAUCUUGGAAGCUAAGCUGGGCUGGGCCUGGUUAGUACUUGGAUGGGAGACAACAUUUUAAGUAAACCAAAGGUAAGAGCUUCA